GGAAACCCGUCUGAUAGCGCUUA
rnacentral:snRNA from 1 species